AGUGGCGGACGGGUGAGUAACGCGUGAGCACCUGCCUUUCAGAGGGGGAUAACAUUUGGAAACAGAUGCUAAUACCGCAUAACAGUACCGCGAUACAGUACAAAGAGCAAUCGCUGAAAGAUGGGCUCGCGUCCGAUUAGAUAGUUGGUGAGGUAACGGCCCACCUAGUCUUCGAUGGAUAGGGGUUCUGAGAGGAAGGUCCCCCACAUUGGAACUGAGACACGGUCCAAACUCAUACGGGAGGCAGCAGUGAGGAAUAUUGGUCAAUGGGCGAGAGCCUGAACCAGCCAAGUAGCGUGAAGGAUGACUGCCCUUGGGUUGUAAACUUCUUUUAUAAAGGAAUAAAGUCGGGUAUGCAUACCCGUUUGCAUGUACUUUAUGAAUAAGGAUCGGCUAACUCCGUGCCAGCAGCCGCGGUAAUACGGAGGAUCCGAGCGUUAUCCGGAUUUAUUGGGUUUAAAGGGAGCGUAGAUGGAUGUUUAAGUCAGUUGUGAAAGUUUGCGGCUCAACCGUAAAAUUGCAGUUGAUACUGGAUAUCUUGAGUGCAGUUGAGGCAGGCGGAAUUCGUGGUGUAGCGGUGAAAUGCUUAGAUAUCACGAAGAACUCCGAUUGCGAAGGCAGCCUGCUAAGCUGCAACUGACAUUGAGGCUCGAAAGUGUGGGUAUCAAACAGGAUUAGAUACCCUGGUAGUCCACACGGUAAACGAUG
rnacentral:rRNA from 1 species